AGCUGCUUAGUUUCCUUAAAGGUAAUGGCAGAGAAGCAAUCCUGAGGUCAGUGAUGGAGUGUCCAGGGAGCUGAAGUGUUCUGCCCCAGGCUUUUAUCAGGCACAUCAGACUGCCAAGGCUGGAUGCCACCACUGGAUCUUUUUGGAUACAGCCCUGUGCCCUGUGUAACAUAAGUGCGCCUGAGAAGUUCAAGAACUAAGUUUGCUCCCUCUGGAUUUUGUUACUGCAAAGGGGAAUAGUGCAUGGGUGCCAAGAGCAAAACAAACGUGAGGCCCAAACACUUGCACACAUCCCUAUUGGUUCAAAAUAAUAGCAGCUGGCUAUGGUUAAAAGGAAAUUACAGCACCAGACAUAGGAGGGAUCAGAUUUACAUAACAAUGAAAACUGGAUCAAUUGUGCUUUCUGCUGAAUGAUGCUGCUGUGAGCUGGAGUUACCAUGACCCUACAGCAGUUCGACUAAGAACCAAAUAUAACCGGUGAGCUUCAACGAAGGGGUUUGUGUAAAAAAAGGGAAAAAAAACCUAGAGAAAGGAGACAAGAAAUAGGAAGAGACACGAAUGAUCCUAAGGCUUACUUUGUGGUUUACAAUUCCUGGCAAGUGCCUUGUGUUACCUUACCAAGAUGUCUCAGAGCUGUAACUGACUCCUUGUAAUUUGCUACAUACAGAACGUGUCCCCUAUCCUUACAGCUACAUAUCAUAUACUUGAAUUACUUCACAAGGUGAAAUCAGUUCAGAACUUUGAUAUAAGAAGUUGUUACUGUCACUUCUAUAUUGCUGCCAUGGAUUUUGCCCUAAGAUAGUGGUGACUGGGGGUCUAUUCUGUUCCACCUAUGGUACAUCUAAGUCUCAGUAUUAAACAUAUGUACUUGUUUAGCACAGUAUUAAUGCUCAGAUGAAGGUAAGUCACAUUUUACCAAAAGUGGUAAGGAGGAGAAGGAAGACCCAUCCACAUUUGCUUAAUUAUUUUUAGGGACUUGAACAAGGUGGAAUAGGAUCCCACUUAGAUGCCUUGCCUACAUACUGCUUAGGUGUUCAAUAGGUGGAACAGGGUCUGGCCCUUAGUGAAUAAAUGUGUUCCAGUUAUCUACUUGCUUCCA
rnacentral:lncRNA from 1 species